GACAGGGGUCUCGAGCGUUAAUCGGAAUUACUGGGCUUAAAGGGUGCGUAGGCCGGCCCGCAAGUGACUUGUGAAAUCCCCCGGCUCAACCCGGGGAACAGCUCGUCAUACUGCGGGUCUUGAGGAAGGUAGGGGUUGCCAGAACUGUAGGUGGAGCGGUGAAAUGCGUAGAUAUCUACAGGAAUGCCGAUGGUGAAGACGGGCAACGUGGGCCUUUCCUGACGCUGAGGCACGAAAGCGUGGGGAGCAAACAGGG
rnacentral:rRNA from 1 species